GUAGGGAAUAUUGGGCAAUGGAUGAAAGUCUGACCCAGCCAUGCCGCGUGCCGGAUGAAGGCGCUCAGCGUUGUAAACGGCUUUUAUUCGGGAAGAAGAGCAGGGAUGCGUCCCUGUGUGACGGUACCGAAUGAAUAAGCACCGGCUAACUCCGUGCCAGCAGCCGCGGUAAUACGGAGGGUGCGAGCGUUGUCCGGAUUUAUUGGGUUUAAAGGGUGCGUAGGUGGCCAAAUAAGUCAGUGGUGGAAUACGGGUGCUCAACAAUCGAGGUGCCAUUGAUACUGCUUGGCUUGAAAUAAUUGGAGGCUGCCGGAAUGGAUGGUGUAGCGGUGAAAUGCAUAGAUAUCAUCCAGAACACCGAUUGCGAAGGCAGGUGGCUACGAUUUAUUUGACACUGAGGCACGAAAGCAUGGGGAGCAAACAGGAUUAGAUACCCGGGUAGUCC
rnacentral:rRNA from 1 species